rnacentral:rRNA from 1 species
AUUGAACGCUGGCGGCAGGCCUAACACAUGCAAGUCGAACGAGUGGCGGACGGGUGAGUAAUGUCUGGGAAACUGCCUGCUGGAGGGGGAUAACUACUGGAAACGGUAGCUAAUACCGCAUACCAUCUGAUGUUCCCAGAUGGGAUUAGCUAGUAGGUGGGGUAACGGCUCACCAAGGCGACGAUCCCUCGCUGGUCUGGGAGGAGGACCAGCCACACUGGAACUGAGACACGGUCCAGACUCCUACGGGAGGCAGCAGUGGGGAAUAUUGCAAAAUGGGCGCAAGCCUGAUGCAGCCAUGCCGCGUGUAUGAAGAAGGCCUUCGGGUUGUAAAGCACUUUCAGCGGGGAGGCGUUACCCGCAGAAGAAGCACCGGCUAACUCCGUGCCAGCAGCCGCGGUAAUAC